rnacentral:rRNA from 1 species
UGUACACGCUGUGACUAGCAUAUCAAUAAGCGGAGGAAAAGAAACUAACAAGGAUUCCCCUAGUAACGGCGAGUGAAGCGGGAAGAGCUCAAAUUUGAAAUCUUAAAGGGUUUCCCUUUACGAAUUGUAGUUUAAAGAAGUGUUUUCUGUUGAGGUUUUGGUAAAAGUUCUUUGGAAUAGGACAUCAUAGAGGGUGAGAAUCCCGUAUUUGACCUUUACUUUCAACUUUGUGAUACACUUUCAAAGAGUCGGAUUGUUUGGGAAUGCAGUCCAAAAUGGGUGGUAAAUUUCAUCUAAAGCUAAAUAUUGGCGAGAGACCGAUAGCGAACAAGUACCGUGAGGGAAAGAUGAAAAGAACUUUGAAAAGAGAGUUAAACAGUACGUGAAAUUGUCAAAAGGGAAGCGUUUGACACCAGUGUUGUUUUUCUGAAAAUCAAUUAAAGAACUGUUUAUGCUAAGCUGUUUAGACUUUAUCAGCUAUCUGUUUAGUUUUGAGCUUUUCUUUAAUGCACUUUUCAGUUAACAAGUCAACAUCAAUUUCUUUUGCUGUAAAAAAGCUUGAGGAAGGUGGCUUGAGAUUCGUCUUAAGUGUUUAUAACCUCUUGCCUAUGCAGUCGGAGAGAUUGAGGUCUGCAGCGUAGAUCCUUCGGGGCUAAAUGCAUUUGUGCUAAGUUAUAGCAUUUUAUAGACAACUUGUUGACUAUGAUUUGUCUUGUAGCUUACUCGCUUAUGUUAUUUUACCUACGCUUAGGAUGUUGAUAUGCAUGACUGAUAU